rnacentral:misc_RNA from 1 species
GAUGAAGAAACGUAGCGAAAUGCGAUAAGUAAUGCGAAUUGCAGAAUUUCCGUGAGUCAUCGAAUCUUUGAACGCACAUUGCGCCCACUGGUAUUCCGGUGGGCAUGCCUGUUCGAGCGUCAUUAUCCUCCCUCAAACCCCGGGUUUGGUGUUGGACCCAAGUUGUGUGAACAACUGGUCUCAAAGACAAUGACGGCGUCCGUGGGACCCUCGGUGCAACGAGCUUUUAGGAGCACGCAUCGAGUUGCAAGGACCUUCCGGGCCGGUCUCCUUUACCAUUUUACAAGGUUGACCUCGGAUCAGGUAGGAAUACCCGCUGAACUUAAGCAUAUCAAUAAGCGGAGGA